UAAGGGCCACUCCUGCUGAGGCUGCAUGAAAGGGGCCUUAGGCAUUUCAGCUGCUGCUGGGUAUGGCUGGGAUUUCAGUGUGGAGGCUGCAUUGCUGAGAUCAUGGAGGGAACAGAGGUGGCUUUGGGAAGUGUUGGUUCCUGUGUGAGCACGAAGGAGGAACAGAGCAAGGCAGACCUGCAUCCUUUUAACUCUGCCACAGUGGAUCUGCACAGGCAAAUGCUCAUCCCUCCUGUAGAAGAAAACCAAGUUAAAAAAUGUUCAAAACAUUCUCAGAUUUUC